rnacentral:rRNA from 1 species
UACGGAGGGUGCGAGCGUUGUCCGGAAUCACUGGGCGUAAAGCGCGUGUAGGCGGUUUUGCAAGUCGGGUGUGAAAGCCCUCAGCUCAACUGAGGAAGUGCGCCCGAAACUGCAGAUCUUGAGUACCGGAGAGGAUGGCGGAAUUCCCCAAGUAGAGGUGAAAUUCGUAGAUAUGGGGAGGAACACCGGUGGCGAAGGCGGCCAUCUGGACGGAUACUGACGCUGAGACGCGAAAGCGUGGGUAGCAAACAGG